rnacentral:rRNA from 1 species
UUGAAAGGGAAACGAUUGAAGUCAGUCGUACCGGCGGGUAAUCAGCUUUUUGGGUGUGAUUAUGUGGAGCGUGAGGAGUUAAUCACCCUCAUCUUUGCAUACUCGUGCACUUUGGGUGUACUUGCUCGUGUGGUAGGUUAACAUCAAUUUUGAUCGUCAUAAAAUGAUUGGGGGAAUGUAGCUUCGAUCUCGUAUUGAAGUGUUAUAGCCUUCGGUAGAUGUGAUGAUUGGGAUUGAGGAUUGCAACGGAUACCCUUCGGGGCUACCUGUCUGAUCUCUGAAAGUUGCUCUGGUGCUGAAAGCUUGCUUACGGUAUCAAAGUUGACGUUCAACAGGUUAGAACGGGAUAAAUUCGUUAAGGAUGUUGACGUA